AGUUGUGGGGAAUGUUGUCUGGUUCGAGAUCUUUCAAUAAAACUUGAAGAUCGUUAUCAUCUGAAUGAUCUCGGACCAGGCUUCAUUCCCCUCAACU